rnacentral:misc_RNA from 1 species
AAAAAAAGAAGCCAAGAACACAUGAAUCUAGCAAAGUAUAUCAUUCUCAAAAUAUUUGUGGACAGCCUAAGACAUUUCAGUCAGUUAAAUUUAUGCAUGAAAUCAGGCAACGAUGAAAUCUUAUUAUUGACUGCAUCUUGCAUUGAUUGUGAUGAUGAGAAUUCUGUUUUGACAGUAAGAAGAUAAAUGAGCCUCUUCCAACAUUAAAAUUGUAAAUGCCUGCUUCUUCUAAAAUUAGAACUAUGAAUAGCUUUUUUCCCCAUUAGAGAGAAUAGCAACCAAAAAUCAGUAACAUUUGACACAAGAAUGAAUUAAAAAAAGACAUAAAAAACAGAAAGCAUACUAGACCCAGCAGCAGUCCAAUUCAGAAUCGGAAUCAGACUGGUCUAAUCCAGAAUCAAAAUUGAUCAAAACUGGAUUGACCUAAACCAGUCUUGAACCCGACCAGAACAACCAGUCCAGUUCCGAGCCAAAACUGGAUUAUUUUUCCUUUUAAAAAAAGAGAAAAUUUUCAAUUGUUAGAAUUGAUCAAAAUUGGACUGAACCAGAACAGAACCAAAAUAAAACUGCAGAGAACCUUGUGGUAGGAUCCUAGUUCCUUUGAACCUUGAACCAGAACUGCCGGUUCUGGCCCGGUGCCCACCCCUAUAGUCCUUGUUAAGCAAUUAUUACUCAAAUUAAACUUAGUCAUAUUAAAUUAUUAUUGGAAACAUUACCAAACAAGUAAACUCCAAUACCUUUUGAAAAAUUGGAUAUUCA